ACUAAUGAAAGGCAGCCCAAUGUCGCCGCGUCCUGCGGCAAAGGCUGCACACCCGCAUCCUGCAGG
rnacentral:sRNA from 1 species